rnacentral:rRNA from 1 species
AACGAACGCUGGCGGCAUGCCUAACACAUGCAAGUCGAACGAACCCUUCGGGGUUAGUGGCGCACGGGUGCGUAACGCGUGGGAAUCUGCCCUUUGCUUCGGAAUAACUCAGGGAAACUUGUGCUAAUGCCGGAUGAUGUCUUCGGACCAAAGAUUUAUCGGCAAGGGAUGAGCCCGCGUAGGAUUAGGUAGUUGGUGGGGUAAAGGCCUACCAAGCCGACGAUCCUUAGCUGGUCUGAGAGGAUGAUCAGCCACACUGGGACUGAGACACGGCCCAGACUCCUACGGGAGGCAGCAGUGGGGAAUAUUGGACAAUGGGCGCAAGCCUGAUCCAGCAAUGCCGCGUGAGUGAUGAAGGCCCUCGGGUCGUAAAGCUCUUUUACCAGGGAUGAUAAUGACAGUACCUGGAGAAUAAGCUCCGGCUAACUCCGU